CACCAACUCAGAAGCUAGGAUAUGCAUAUUAUUAACACAUUCGGAUAGAAAACACUCUGAAUUUUCUAAAACAGUUUGAAUGGUGUCUGUAAGUAUAACAAAACUCAUAUUGCAGGCAAAAACCUGUGAAAAAUAGAUCCAAAAAAAAUUGGAUUUUGUGACUGUACUAUUUAGUGUCAUUGUUUUAUAGAUACCAUAGUGAGAAAGGAUUCAUUUCGCAACACCUACGGCUUCCACUAGAUGUCAACGAUCUUUAUAAAGUUGUUUGAAGCGUCUAUGAUAAACAGAGAGCAAAUUAGAAUCCAAGGAAGUUGACAUGUCAUCACUUCAUUUUUUUGCGCCUGCGCAUAAAUCUGAGAGACGUGAGUUUGUCAUCAUUUUUUAUCUAGACAUAGGAUAGGUUGUGUGAAAAUAUUACUGAUGUUUAACGUUAAAAAUGGACCAAAAGAUUAAUGCUAAACAACAUUUGACAUGUUUGAACGAACAUAAAUAGAUUAUUUACUAGGUUUUUUUAGCUUUUCGGCGUGAUUUUAACAGCCCCACACCACGUUUUGUGGGAGCAUAAUGAACGCUAAGUACUUGGUGUUAUUUGGACAUAAAUUAUGAACUUUGUCAAAAGAAACCACAUUUGUUCCGGACCUGGAAUGCCUUCCGGACCUGGGAUCCUGCCUUCUGAUGGAGAUAAUCAAAGAAUAUCCCACCACAAAAGGACCAAGCUGCUUGUAAUGGAAGAAAAACUGAGUUGGACCUGGGAGGAGAUCCUGGGAGGAUGCGAGACCCUUUCUUGGAGGGAGUCGCCAAGGAAUCUGGAAGGACAGCGACAACGCCAGGAUCCGAGGCCACAGAAACGCAAUGAUUUUUUUUGGGGGGGGGACAUGGGGCUGUCGGUCGAGCCGCGGAGAGAGUCAG
rnacentral:lncRNA from 1 species